AAACCUGAGAGAAGUCAAGUCACAAAGAAAAAUGAACCACCCAAAUAUUGUGAAGCUAAAGGAAGUUAUUCGAGAAAGUGACAUUUUGUACUUUGUUUUUUAGUACAUGGAAUGCAACCUGUACCAACUUAUGAAAGACAGGGAGAAGAUGUUUUCUGAGGGUGAAGUUAGGAAUUGGUGUUUUCAAGUUUUCCAAGGUCUUGCUUAUAUGCACCAGCGGGGAUACUUCCACCGUG